AGAGUUUGAUCAUGGCUCAGAUUGAACGCUGGCGGCAGGCCUAACACAUGCAAGUCGAACGGUAACAGAAAGCAGCUUGCUGCUUUGCUGGCGAGUGGCGGACGGGUGAGUAAUGUCUGGGAAACUGCCCGAUGGAGGGGGAUAACUACUGGAAACGGUAGCUAAUACCGCAUAACGUCGCAAGACCAAAGAGGGGGACCUUAGGGCCUCUUGCCAUCGGAUGUGCCCAGAUGGGAUUAGCUAGUAGGUGGGGUAACGGCUCACCUAGGCGACGAUCCCUAGCUGGUCUGAGAGGAUGACCAGCCACACUGGAACUGAGACACGGUCCAGACUCCUACGGGAGGCAGCAGUGGGGAAUAUUGCACAAUGGGCGCAAGCCUGAUGCAGCCAUGCCGCGUGUAUGAAGAAGGCCUUCGGGUUGUAAAGUACUUUCAGCGGGGAGGAAGGGAGUAAAGUUAAUACCUUUGCUCAUUGACGUUACCCGCAGAAGAAGCACCGGCUAACUCCGUGCCAGCAGCCGCGGUAAUACGGAGGGUGCAAGCGUUAAUCGGAAUUACUGGGCGUAAAGCGCACGCAGGGGGUUUGUUAAGUCAGAUGUGAAAUCCCCGGGCUCAACCUGGAACUGCAUCUGAUACUGGCAAGCUUGAGUCUCGUAGAGGGGGGUAGA
rnacentral:rRNA from 1 species